rfam:Cucumis sativus cultivar 9930 chromosome 5, whole genome shotgun sequence.
GUGUUUGAUUAUAGGAGCGAUGGUUGGCAUCUCCCCUGAUAGGGUCAGGAACUGCCUUUGGGCUUCCCUUUUAACACAUACGAUUAAAUGUGCAAGCAAGUGCAAUGCCAACAUCUAUUUUC